rnacentral:pre_miRNA from 1 species
AUCUUACUCCCUCCGUUCGGAAUUACUUGUCUCGGAAAUGGAUGUAUCUAGAACUAAAAUACGUCUAGAUACAUCCAUUUCUGUGACAAGUAAUUCCGAACGGAGGGAGUACAUU